UACGUAGGGACCAAGCGUUGUUCGGAUUUACUGGGCGUAAAGGGCGCGUAGGCGGCUUGACAAGUCACUUGUGAAAUCUCCGGGCUUAACUCGGAACGGGCAAGUGAAACUGUCAUGCUAGAGUGCAGAAGGGGCAAUCGGAAUUCUUGGUGUAGCGGUGAAAUGCGUAGAUAUCAAGAGGAACACCUGAGGUGAAGACGGGUUGCUGGGCUGACACUGACGCUGAUGCGCGAAAGCCAGGGGAGCAAACGGG
rnacentral:rRNA from 1 species